rnacentral:rRNA from 1 species
AGUGAACGCUGGCGGUAGGCCUAACACAUGCAAGUCGAACGGCAGCACAGUAAGAGCUUGCUCUUACGGGUGGCGAGUGGCGGACGGGUGAGGUAUACAUCGGAAUCUACUUUUUCGUGGGGGAUAACGUAGGGAAACUUACGCUAAUACCGCAUACGACCUACGGGUGAAAGCAGGGGAUCUUCGGACCUUGCGCGAUCGAAUGAGCCGAUGUCGGAUUAGCUAGUUGGCGGGGUAAAGGCCCACCAAGGCGACGAUCCGUAGCUGGUCUGAGAGGAUGAUCAGCCACACUGGAACUGAGACACGGUCCAGGCUCCUACGGGAGGCAGCAGUGGGGAAUAUUGGACAAUGGGCGCAAGCCUGAUCCAGCCAUACCGCGUGGGUGAAGAAGGCCUUCGGGUUGUAAAGCCCUUUUGUUGGGAAAGAAAAGCAGCAGGUUAAUACCCCGCUGUUCUGACGGUACCCAAAGAAUAAGCACCGGCUAACUUCGUG